AGACUGAAACAUUUGUCACCCCAAAGAGAACUGGGACUGUUUAUACAGGAGAAGAGAAGGCUCAGGGAGAUCUUACCCAGCUGCAUAAAUACUUAAUGAGAGAGAUUGAAGAAUUAUAGAAUCACAAUAAUUCUUGGAUAAUCUUUGCAUCUGCAGUAAAUCAGAAAUGAACGUCUUCGGGAUCAUCAGUUAAUUAAAACUUCAUUCCUAGCUCUACUUGCAUUGGAAAUCAAGCUGAAAAUAUAACCAGGAUGUUUCUAUACUGUGCAUGGAAGCUGUGAUGGACUACUUAAGAAAGCCCUGAAAACAUCAUUGCAAACUGAAGAAGUAUUGAUAUCGUCAGUGUCAUGGGCAGAUCAAAGAUAGAAUCCUCUGAGAAUAACAAACACAGUGUUCUAAGGUGAUGAGUAAAGAGGUUAUGAAUAAGUUAUAAAUGGAAAGAAUUGAGUUAAAGAAAGAGAUUUGAAAGUUAUAGUCUCA
rnacentral:lncRNA from 1 species